UACGUAGGGUGCAAGCGUUAAUCGGAAUUACUGGGCGUAAAGCGUGCGCAGGCGGUUGUGUAAGACAGAUGUGAAAUCCCCGGGCUCAACCUGGGAACUGCAUUUGUGACUGCACAGCUGGAGUGCGGCAGAGGGGGAUGGAAUUCCGCGUGUAGCAGUGAAAUGCGUAGAGAUGCGGAGGAACACCGAUGGCGAAGGCAGCCCCCUGGGUCGACACUGACGCUCAGGCACGAAAGCGUGGGGAGCAAACAGG
rnacentral:rRNA from 1 species